AGAGUUUGAUCAUGGCUCAGGAUGAACGCUAGCGGCAGGCCUAAUACAUGCAAGGCGAGGGGGCAGCAAUGUCACCGUCGUACGGGUGCGUAACGCGUAUGCAACCUACCCACUACUGGGGGAUAGCCCGGGGAAACCCGGAUUAAUACCGCAUAACACAAUUGGAUCACAUGGUUUGAUUGUUAAAGAUUUAUUGGUGGUGGAUGGGCAUGCGUUCGAUUAGCUAGUUGGCGGGGUAACGGCCCACCAAGGCGACGAUCGAUAGGGGAGCUGAGAGGUCGAUCCCCCACACGGGCACUGAGAUACGGGCCCGACUCCUACGGGAGGCAGCAGUAGGGAAUAUUGGGCAAUGGAUGCAAGUCUGACCCAGCCAUGCCGCGUGCCGGAUGAAUGCCCUCAGGGUUGUAAACGGCUUUUAUCUGGGAAGAAGAACGGGGAUGCGUCCCCGCGUGACGGUACCAGAGGAAUAAGCACCGGCUAACUCCGUGCCAGCAGCCGCGGUAAUACGGAGGGUGCGAGCGUUGUCCGGAUUUAUUGGGUUUAAAGGGUGCGUAGGUGGCUUGAUAAGUCAGUGGUGAAAUGCGGUCGCUCAACGAUCGAACUGCCAUUGAUACUGUUGGGCUUGAGACAAGUGGAGGUUGCCGGAACGGAUGGUGUAGCGGUGAAAUGCAUAGAUAUCAUCCAGAACACCGAUUGCGAAGGCAGGUGACUACGUUUGAUCUGACACUGAGGCACGAAAGCAUGGGGAGCAAACAGGAUUAGAUACCCUGGUAGUCCAUGCCGUAAACGAUGAGGACUCGCUGUUGGCCUUUCGGGGUCAGUGGCUUAGGGAAACCCGUUAAGUCCUCCCCCUG
rnacentral:rRNA from 1 species